rnacentral:lncRNA from 1 species
CUUUGGACUUGGACUUUCGGGUUAAUGCUGAAAUGAGCUAAGACUUUGGAGGACUAUUGGAAAGGCAUGAUUGAUUUUGAAAUGUGAGGGCAUGAGAUUUGGGAGUGUCCAGGUUUGGCUGUGUCCCCACUCAAAUCUCAUCUUGAAUUUUGGUUCCCAUAAAUCUCAUGUGUUGUGGGAGGGACACACGGAAUUGAAUCACACACAUGAUUCAAUUACCUAUGAUAGGAGGUGAUUGAAUCAUGCAGGCAGUUAUCCCCAUGCUGUUCUCGUGAUAGUGAAUUCUCAUGAGAUCUGAUGGUUUUAUAAGGGGCUUUUCCACCUUGGCUUGGCACUUUUUCCGUCCCCCACAUGAAGAAGGACGUGUUUGCUUCCCCUUCCACCAUGAUUUAAGCUUCCUGAGGCCUCCCCAGCCCUACAGAACUGUGAGUCAAUUAAACUAAUUUCCUUUACUAAUUAUCCAGUCUUGGAUAUGUCCUUAUGAGAGACAGGACUAGCUGGAUUUCCUAGGCCGACUAAGAAUCCCUAAGCCUAGCUGGGAAGGUGACUGCAUCCACCUUUAAACACGGGGCUUGCAACUUAGCUCACAUUCGACCAAUCAGGUAAUUAAAAAAAGCUCACUAAAGUGCUAAUUAGGCAAAAACAGGAGGUAAAGAAAUAGCUAAUCAUCUAUCGCCUGAGAGCACAGCGGGAGGCAGAAUGAUCGGGACAUAAACCCAGGCAUUCGAGCCAGCAAGUUACCCUCUUUGGGUCCCCUCCCUUUGUAUGGGAGCUCUGUUUUCACUCUAUUAAAUCUUGCAACUGCACUCUCUUUUGGUCCGUGUUUGUUACGGCUCGAGCUGAGCUUUCACUCGCCGCCCACCACUGCUGUUUGCUGCCGUCGGAGACCCGCCGUUGACUUCCAUCCCUCCAGAUCCAGCAGGGUGUCCGCUGUGCUCCUGAUCCAGUGAGGCACCCAUUGCCGCUCCGGAUCAGGCUAAAGGCUUGCCAUUGUUCCUGCACAGCUAAGUGCCCGGGUUCAUCCUAAUCGAGCUGAACACUAGUCACUGGGUUCCACUGUUCUCUUCCAUGACCCACGGCUUCUAAUAGAGCUAUAACACUCACCGCAUGAUCCAAGAUUCCAUUCCUUGGAAUCCAUGAGGCUAAGAACCCCAGGUCAGAGAACACAAGGCUUGCCACCGUCUUGGAAGCAGCCUGCCACCAUGUUGGGAGCUCUGGAAGCAAGGACCCCCCAGUAACAUUUUGGCGACCACGAAGGGACCUCCAAAAUGGAAAGAUGAAAGAAUGAAUGAGUGAGAGUCUGAGAAGCACUGCUUUAGAGCACCUGUUACAGGGACCCUGGACCUCAAGAGGACUUGGGAUCGACCUCCCCACCAAACUGACUGAGGACUGUGUAUUCUGCUGAUCUUCUGCAUAGCAACAGACCUGGUUUACCUUCAGAGACUCAUCAAACUAUCUGAGAGAAUGCAAUUCCUUUAAGAUCUCUUUUCUCUGUGUGUGUGUUUUUAAAUAUACUCUUGCAUUUUAGUAGUUAAUUGAGAUGGGAUUCAUGCAUGAGAGAUUUACUGAAUUUGUAUCUGAUUAGCCAGGGCCACUUUAUACUCUGUAAUUGUAGAUGUGGUUUUUAAACUGACAAUUGUAAGUUUGCAUGUAUUCUUUUUCUCCUAACUCUGUUUAGACUUUGUAUUCAGGAUAGAAAUUACCUUUUCUAAGAAGUUUUACCAAGCUGAGUGUAAAUCUAUAAUACCUCAGCAGUAAAACAAUCCCAGAGGGAUAAUUUUGUGCAACCAUUUCAAUCUUGAUACCAAUUAAAAUGGUAUGAUCUAUCUCACCGCCAUCACACAAAACAGGUUUCUAUGCCAUCUCCUCACCUCUUGCUUAGAGAAAACCAUCAGAUUGGUUCUAUUACACUCAGAUUUAAGAUCAAACAUCUUUUUUUCAGAGCUUUAUGGAUUCUAAUAACAAUAGAAAGUACUGAAAUAAGCCUAUUUUCGUGGCUGCCUUUCAAUCAGUAUGUAACACACUUUCCAUUUUGUCUUCACCAGAAAUAAAUUGUACUUUAAAUCUCUGCUCUCCUUAAAUAUUUCAAAUAUGUGGGAUAUGAUAUCAUCUCUAAAAAGGGAACUUCUUUAGAUGGCAUUGUUAGGAAGCCUUAGCAAAAGCAUUUUGCAAGCUAGUAACAUAAUUCUAGAACAGGUUUUAUUGC